AUUGAACGCUGGCGGCAGGCCUAACACAUGCAAGUCGAACGAGUGGCGGACGGGUGAGUACUGUCUGGGAAACUGCCUGAUGGAGGGGGAUAACUACUGGAAACGGUAGCUAAUACCGCAUCCCAUCGGCUGUGCCCAGAUGGGAUUAGCUAGUAGGUGGUGUAAAGGCUCACCUAGGCGACGAUCCCUAGCUGGUCCGAGCGGAUGACCAGCAACACGGGAACUGAGACAAGGUCCAGAAUCCUACGCGAGGCAGCAGUGGGGAAUAGUGCACAAUGGGUGAAAGCCUGAUGCAGCAAUGCCGUGUGUAUGAAGAAGGCCUUCGGGUUGUAAAGUACUUUCAGAGGGGAGGCGUUACCCGCAGAAGAAGCAACGGCUAACUCCGUGCCAGCAGCCGCGGUAAUUC
rnacentral:rRNA from 1 species